rnacentral:lncRNA from 1 species
UCUCACUGUGUACCCUUCUCUCCUGUGAAUUCCAGCUGCCUUGGACUUCCUAACUUCAUCUCUGGUUUUUCAUCUUAAAGUAGAAGCUAUAGAAAUGUUUGUGUCAUCCGAGAGUCACACAGAUGAAUGCUGGCCAUGCCAUUCAUACCCUUUCUCCAGGAGGUGAUGCUCUGUCAGCUGGCAAGAGUCUGGCUUGACAGGCAACCUCAGCCCUGAUGUGCAGGUGAGGACCUCAGCUCUCCGACUUCAUGUCAUUAAACACCAAGUCAGUCACACCCUUUGGAAGUCAUCUGUAACUCAAUUGCAAGGAGGGAAUCCACAACUCAGAUAGCGAUCCCAGUUCCUGUGGCUUCCAGAAUGAAAAUUCGACUGCAUCAUCCAUGUUUAGCCCUUGGAUUUAGCCCAUGGAUUCCCUCAGGUCUUUGGGGGUGCCUACAGCCUCCCAUGCCUGGGCCCUGUCUCCCACUCCAGCUGCAUCUCUUACUAUGUCCUCCUUGAGGUUUCCUCAUUCCUGACCAUCUGCAGUUCUGCAAAGAUGUCCUGGACACAGCAGACACAGAGCAUGGGGAGAGACAGCCCAACCUACAUAGAGGAGGGGUGGGUAGUAGGGGAAGGAAACGCCUUAAGAUAGGCAGAGGGGACCACAUUUCCUUCUAAUCACAGUCAGAUCCGCUGUAGCAAUUUUUUCUGAAUGGGUUAUUUCACAAGCACUUACUGAGCACCUAAAAUGUGCUAGUACCUAGCCUAGGAGGUGAGUAGUAAACUAUGUCGCCCUCUAAAGGACAGCAUUCAGCAUAGGGCAGACACUGAGUGCAACAACACAACAAUGGGAUUCUCAGAACAUAGGGUGCUCAGGGAGAGGGGAAGUUAAGUAUGCCUUGGUCUGGGCAAGGGACAGUGAUAUGGUU